rnacentral:rRNA from 1 species
UACGUAGGGGGCUAGCGUUGUCCGGAUUUAUUGGGCGUAAAGAGCGUGUAGGCGGCCAGGUAGGUCUGCUGUGAAAACUCGAGGCUUAACCUCGAGAUGUCGGCGGAAACCAUCUGGCUAGAGUCCGGAAGAGGAGAGCGGAAUUCCUGGUGUAGCGGUGAAAUGCGCAGAUAUCAGGAAGAACACCAGUGGCGAAGGCGGCUCUCUGGGACGGUACUGACGCUGAGACGCGAAAGCGUGGGGAGCGAACAGG